GUUCUCUUUUUCUUUGCUCCAGGUGUGGAAGUCACCCACUGGCUGCGAUUGUCUGCCCGGGUCCUGGUUUAAUUGUUUGUUUGGGAUCAGUUUUGGAAGGAUCCACCAGCUGAUACAGACUGCUGAUGUUUUGCCAAGAGAGAUAAACAGCCUCAGUUUGUACUGCAGUUGGAUACGGUGUUUACAAAAUACAGCAGCUGCCUCCCAGGAAAGCCCUGGAAUUACCUGGGCUGUUGGAUUCCAACCCACCUUUCAAAUCUCUACCUGUCAAAUUUGGUAAUGUGCAGCUGCCACGUUGGUUGUCAUGUUUGUCACCAGGCUGCUGGAGAAGCCAGUACCUUGCGCGUUGCAGUUGCCAGAAAGAGGGAAGAAGUCAGUGGCCAAGUAUGCCAGCUCUUAUCACCUACCCAUCUGCUCACAUUUUAUUGGCUAAAGCAAGUCAUGAAGGUAUCUUCACUUCUCGUGAGCAGCAGAGGGCAGGCGGCAGCAUGCAGCCUGCAGAGAGAGCUGGGCUAUUUGUGA
rnacentral:lncRNA from 1 species